AUUCAGUUAGUAUAUAAAUUACAUUGGUUUUAGGAACCAAAAAAUGGGGUGUGGCUCCAAUUGAAUG
rnacentral:tRNA from 1 species